CCGGCGAUCGGAGGGACAGGAGGCGGGGGAAGACGGGGGGUGCGAGGGUGAAGCGGAAGUGCUGGGCGUAAAGUGGGCGCAGGGGGCCGAGCAAGGCGAGUGUGAAGGCCCCGGGCUUAACUUGGGAAUGGCGCUCGAAACUACUUGGCUGGAGUGUGGCAGAGGAAGGUGGAAUUCCACGUGUAGCGGUGAAAUGCGUAGAGAUGUGGAGGAACACCAAUGGCGAAGGCAGCCUUCUGGGCCAACACUGACGCUCAUGCACGAAAGCGUGGGGAGCAAACAGGAUUAGAUACCCAGUAGC
rnacentral:rRNA from 1 species